UACGAAGGGGGCUAGCGUUGCUCGGAAUCACUGGGCGUAAAGCGCACGUAGGCGGAUCUUUAAGUCAGGGGCGAAAUCCUGGAGCUCAACUCCAGAACUGCCUUUGAUACUGGGGAUCUCGAGUCCGGGAGAGGUGAGUGGAACUGCGAGUGUAGAGGUGAAAUUCGUAGAUAUUCGCAAGAACACCAGUGGCGAAGGCGGCUCACUGGCCCGGUACUGACGCUGAGGUGCGAAAGCGUGGGGAGCAAACAGG
rnacentral:rRNA from 1 species